ACUCAUCGUCUCAUUACUUCUUUGUCGUGUAUUGGGCUUUAAUCUAAUAAACUGGUCUGUCAGCUUCAAAGCUCAUACACGGUUUGCCUUAGAUCUCAUCUUCUUCGUCUGAUGACAUACGAGACGUUUCACCUUCGUGAAACCACCCUGAUAACGUCUCUCAAUAGAUUUCACCAUAAAGCGCAUGGAACUAAGCCUAGAAUGAUUUCAAUGGUUUCAUGAUGUGUCGUCCUCUUCUUUGAUAUUACUGUUUUGAUUCUAGAAAUUUCUCAGAGAUUCGUCGUUUUAAGGGCAAAACUGUUAUAAUGGAAGUAAGAUCGUACGGAGAAUCAAACCUCCUCUACAGCUGAAGAAAUCAUAAGCAUGUCAGUUCAAGUUUCUUACACACAGCUCUCAUCAAUGGGAACUUCGUAGAGACUGCUUUUGGUAAGAUGUUCCCCGCCACGUACCGGGAAGUCAAUGCGAACGUAGCUGAAGGCAAUGCUGAAGAUGUCAUUUGGGCGGUGAAAACUACAAGGAAGACCAUUGAUGAAGGAUUUUGACCUAAGAUGACCGCUUAUGAAAGUUCAAGGAUAAUGGGAAGACUUAUGAACAAGUCAAAAACCAGAGAUUCCAAUGCUUGCCAGAUAUUGUUUCGCUACUAUACUGGCAUACCACAUCAAAAUCGUUAGAAUAUUAUCAAAGUUUCUUGCUUUUGUUGGUAAGCUUCCGCUUCUGAUGUUUGCUUGGAAAGUUGAUCCUGCUCUUGCCUAUGGUAACACAACUGUCCUCAAAACCGCCGAACAAACUCCUCUCACUGCUUUUUAUGUCAGCAACCUUUUCCUUGAAGCAGGUCUUCCUCUUGGUGUUCUGAACAUAGUUUCUGGAUUUGGUCCAAUCGCAGGGGCUUCUCUCACGAGCCACAUGGAUUAGGCUGUUACGAAAUUUGUUAAGUUCGUCGUCGCGUUUUGUUCUGACGCAUAUGUGUAAAACAAAGCUCGUACUUUUUGCAAUUUUUUUCCAAGGUGGAACUCCAUCCAUGUCGUUCACCCACAUGGCUGAGCCUUCUACUCACUCACAAAAAAAACAUUGUACCACAUGCUCUUGGUUCUUUUUGUUCAUUAUACUUAAGUCUUGAGUUAAUAUGAAUAUAUAAUUGUUUACAGGGACAUCAGACGGUGGAUCAAGAGCUUCAGAAGAUACAAUAGGAUAUGCACAGUAUGAGUACUAGAAACAGGCGGUUAUAGCGUAAGAGCCGCAACAGCAGGUCGCGAUGGAGCUUGAUAUAACACGGAGUGUCAUUGCAGAGCUAAAACUGGAACUAGCAUUGGCCGAGAAAGAACAAGCGACACAAGACUCUCAUCUUGCGAAGCUGAGAGUGCAGGAAAUGGAGCAAGAGAUAGCUGCUGUGUCAAGUGUUGCAGCCAAAGCACGGCUUGAUGUGGCUAAGCGAGACAUCUGUCAACAGUUUCUGAGCUAGGAAAUGUAAGAGAAGAGAGAAAUGGUCUCUAACUUAUAGAAGUUAAGUCAAAUUGAGAAAGCAAUUUCUGAGGUGAAAACAUUGAAGAUCAUCGUCGGAUCAUUGCAUGACCGAGAGAAGAAAUAUCUCUUUGAAACCCAACAUAUAGAAGCUAUAUGAGUUCAGAGAAACAGCGAAGAAGCAAGAGAGGAGAGAUGCACAUAAAUAGCCAAGAAGAAGCAAGAACUUAACACAGAAGCAGAGGAAGAAAAGUCACUUGCUUUAGCUGCUCGAGAGAAGCUCAAAAAGGUUAAAGAAGAGUCAGGGGAAGCGAAGACAGGAGUCUCUGCAAUAUAAAGUUAGUUAGUUGAGGUGGAAAGGGAAAUAAGUGCCGUGAUGGAUUGAUGGACCAUAGUCAACUACAAUGUGGUCACUGAAGCCUUCGGGAGAGGAAGAGUCAUGAAACAAAUAGAAUAUUUAUUUAGGCUAAUGCAAUCAGAUAGAAUAAAACAAAGUUGUGUUCACUACUUUGUAAUUUUAUAAGGAUUUAUGACAUAUAAGUGAUUUUUUUUU